UCCGGGAUCGUCUAAUGGUAGGACAGUGGACUCUGAAUCCACUAAUCUUGGUUCGAAUCCAGGUCCCGGAG
rnacentral:tRNA from 1 species